rnacentral:rRNA from 1 species
GACGAACGCUGGCGGCGUGCUUAACACAUGCAAGUCGAACGGAGCGAAUGAAAGCUUGCUUUUAUAAGCUUAGUGGCAAACGGGUGAGUAACACGUAGGCAACCUGCCGACAGGAUGGGGACAACAUUCCGAAAGGAAUGCUAAUACCGAAUGAAGCGCAGGAGAGGCAUCUCUCCUGCGUGAAAGAUGGCCUCUAUAUAUAAGCUAUCACCUGUCGAUGGGCCUGCGUCUGAUUAGCUGGUAGGUGAGGUAACGGCUCACCUAGGCGACGAUCAGUAGCCGGUCUGAGAGGAUGAACGGCCACAUUGGGACUGAGACACGGCCCAGACUCCUACGGGAGGCAGCAGUGGGGAAUCUUCCGCAAUGGGCGCAAGCCUGACGGAGCAACGCCGCGUGAGUGAAGAAGGUCUUCGGAUCGUAAAGCUCUGUUGAUGGGGACGAACGUGCCUAAUGCGAAUAGUAUUAGGU